UACGUAGGGGGCAAGCGUUGGCCGGAUUUACUGGGCGUAAAGAGCGUGUAGGCGGCCAAACAGGUCCGUUGUGAAAACUGGAGGCUCAACCUCCAGACGUCGACGGAAACCGUGUGGCUAGAGUCCGGAAGAGGAGAGUGGAAUUCCUGGUGUAGCGGUGAAAUGCGCAGAUAUCAGGAAGAACACCAAUGGCGAAGGCAGCUCUCUGGGACGGUACUGACGCUGAGACGCGAAAGCGUGGGGAGCGAACAGG
rnacentral:rRNA from 1 species